rnacentral:snRNA from 1 species
UUUGCUUCUUGGCCUUUUGGCUAAGGUCAAGUGUAGUAUCUGUUCUUAUCAGUUUAAUAUCUGAUAGUCCUCUAUCUGAGAACAAAUGUUAAAUGGAUUUUUGGAACAAGGAGAUGGAAUAGGAGCUCUGUCCACUCCACACGUCGUCCUGUUAUUGCAGUACCUCUAGGAAUGGUGUACCCCUC